UAAUACGGAGGGUGCGAGCGUUAAUCGGAAUUACUGGGCGUAAAGCGCACGUAGGCGGUCUGGUAAGUCGGAUGUGAAAGCCCCGGGCUUAACCUGGGAAUUGCAUUCGAUACUGCCUGACUGGAGUAUGGGAGAGGGAAGCGGAAUUUCCGGUGUAGCGGUGAAAUGCGUAGAUAUCGGAAGGAACAUCAAUGGCGAAGGCAGCUUCCUGGCCCAAUACUGACGCUGAGGUGCGAAAGCGUGGGGAUCAAACAGGAUUAGAUACCCUGGUAGUCCACGCUGUAAACGAUGAGAACUAGAUGUUGGGAGGGUUUUGCCUCUCAGUGUCGCAGCUAACGCGCUAAGUUCUCCGCCUGGGGAGUACGGCCGCAAGGUUGAAACUCAAAUGAAUUGACGG
rnacentral:rRNA from 1 species